rnacentral:lncRNA from 1 species
CGCUAACAAACGCAACAAAAAUCGCGGCUACGAUGUCAUCAUAACUUG